rnacentral:rRNA from 1 species
ACACGACUACAUUAGAUACCCCUGUAGUCCAGGGUGUAAACGCUGCGGGCUUGGUGUUGGGGGGUCCUUUGAGGGCGCCCAGUGCCGGAGAGAAGUUGUUAAGCCUGCUGCUUGGGGAGUACGUCCGCAAGGAUGAAACUUAAAGGAAUUGGCGGGGGAGCACCGCAACGGGGGGAGCGUGCGGUCCAAUUGGAUUCAACGCCGGACAACUCACCAGGAGCGACGGUUACAUGAAGGCCAGGCUGAUGACCUUGCCUGAUUUUCCG